GUGUUGGUGUAGUGUACUCAGGUGAAUAUGAUAUUUGUGGUGUUACUCUGAGUGUAUAUCCACACCGGGCGAGCUUGAAAAAUAUGCCCGGCCACGGUGGGAUUCGAACCUACGACCUUUGGAAUACUAGCCCAAUGCUCUUUCAACUGAGCUACACGGUCAGGACGGUUCGAGUAAGUGAUAUUUCGGAACAGAAUCUAGUUCCUUCGAUACCAAUGUAUUCUAUUAAUAUGAUUUUAUUUUUUUUUCUGUGUUGGUGUAGUGUACUCAGGUGAAUAUGAUAUUUGUGGUGUUACUCUGAGUGUAUAUCCACACCGGGCGAGCUUGAAAAAAUGCCCGGCCACGGUGGGAUUCGAACCUACGACCUUUGGAAUACUAGCCCAAUGCUCUUCCAGCUGAGCUACGCGGUCAGGACGGUUCGAG